UGGGGAAUUUUGCACAAUGGGGGAAACCCUGAUGCAGCGACGCCGCGUGAUUUAGAAGGCCUUCGGGUUGUAAAAAUCUUUUUUAUGGGAUGAAAAUGACAGUACCAUAAGAAUAAGGUCCGGCUAAAUACGUGCCAGCAGCCGCGGUAAUACGUAUGGACCGAGCGUUGUCCGGAUUUAUUGGGCGUAAAGCGAGCGCAGGCGGUUAGAAAAGUCUGAAGUGAAAGGCAGUGGCUCAACCAUUGUAGGCUUUGGAAACUGUUUAACUUGAGUGCAGAAGGGGAGAGUGGAAUUCCAUGUGUAGCGGUGAAAUGCGUAGAUAUAUGGAGGAACACCGGUGGCGAAAGCGGCUCUCUGGUCUGUAACUGACGCUGAGGCUCGAAAGCGUGGGGAGCGAACAGG
rnacentral:rRNA from 1 species